rnacentral:lncRNA from 1 species
CAAAUUAAGGUCACCCGGACUCCUCCAAACUUCAAUUGAGUCAAAGUAAAUCAUGAUGAAGAUUACAUUCAUGAUUCUAACAAAGCUGGUUGUGGUGUGCUUUUCAGUGAUUAUAAAGGUGAUUUAAUUGUUGGGAUUUAUGUGUCUUUAUCUAGGUCUUCUUCCUUUCUUGUUGAAUUUUUUGUUGUUCUUAAGACUAUUAAAAUUGCCUCAUUUUACAAUUGGCAAAAUCUUUAGUUGGAGUCGGAUUUUUUUGUGGUCAAAACUUUUGGGGUUGCUGCUCUUGUUCCAUGACAACUUAAACUUAGAUGGGAGACUUAUAGAGAGUAUACCUCUUCCAUCUCUUUUUUUUUCUCUCAUGGGAAUGUAAUAGUUGUGCAUACUCUUUUACUAAUUUAA